ACGAACGCUGGCGGCGUGCUUAACACCUGCAAGUCGCACGGAAAGGCCCUGCUUUUGUGGGGUGCUCGAGUGGCGAACGGGUGAGUAACACGUGAGUAACCUGCCCUUGACUUUGGGAUAACUUCAGGAAACUGGGGCUAAUACCGGAUAGGAGCUCCUGCUGCAUGGUGGGGGUUGGAAAGUUUCGGCGGUUGGGGAUGGACUCGCGGCGUAUCAGCUUGUUGGUGGGUAGUGGCUUACCAAGGCUUUGACGGGUAGCCGGCCUGAGAGGGUGACCGGCCACAUUGGGACUGAGAUACGGCCCAGACUCCUACGGGAGGCAGCAGUGGGGAAUAUUGCACAAUGGGCGGAAGCCUGAUGCAGCAACGCCGCGUGCGGGAUGACGGCCUUCGGGUUGUAAACCGCUUUCGCCUGUGACGAAGCGUGAGUGACGGUAAUGGGUAAAGAAGCACCGGCUAACUACGUG
rnacentral:rRNA from 1 species